GGGGGGCGGUGAUGCUGUCAGCGAAAGGAUCCAGUGUGCCUGAAUAGCGGUAGCAGUCAUCCAUCCCAUAUAGACAUAAAAUGCUAUUUAUUUCUAAGGCAUAUCAGUGGACUUGCCAGUUGUUGUUAGAAGUAGCUUAGUUAUUUUCUUUCUAUAAUAGGAUAUUAUACAGGCCAAGAUAUUAGAUUCGUUAUCGGCAAGGGUGAAUAAUGCUACAGUCUUCAUCAUCCGGACUGGUGCAGAUGGAGGGAUGUGGGGAAGAGGCGAGGGAUACGCAGAAAAUGCAGUGCAUGAAACUGACUAAAGAGAGAGAUGAAGCAGAGAGCCAGCUGAAACACAUCAAGAGAGUUUCCCAAAUGGUGAUCGAGGAGGUGAGCGUUCUGCAGACGCAGCUGGAGAUAGAAAAAUCCUGCAGAGAAAAUGCUGAGGCCCUUGCCACCAAGUUGAACAGUGAGAACAGGAAGCUGAAGUAUCUGAGCCUGUCGUCUCGACCCUGUCUGGAUGAGAUGCUACCUAGUAUCACAGACUGCAUGCCUCUGGAAGAGGAGACGGACACACAGGACACCAGCCCUGACCCGUACAGCCUGUACCAACAGCAGGAGCUGCAGGAGACAGUGAGCACUCUGCUGGAGGAGAAGAAGAGACUUUCCUGUCAGCUUCAGGAGCAGCAGAGACAGAUUGAAGAACUAACAGCCCUGGCUGAGAAGGAGCAGGCUGAAAUGAAGGAGCUUCACAAAACCAUUGAGCAGCAAGGCAAGACCAUCAAGAGGUUCAAUAGAGUGUCUGUGAUGGCUACUACAGAGUAUGAGGAGAUGAAGGAGCAGCUGGAUUUGGAGCAGAGCCUGAGGGUGAAGGCUGAGACCUACGCCCACGAGAUGUUGGUGAAGCAGAAAGAGGCUAACAGACAGAGUAUGAUCCUGCUGCAGAACGCUGACCCAAGCCUGCAGCUGAUCAAGGCUCUGGAGGACGUGGCUAAUGUUACCAAGACUCUGGAGCAGGAGAGACUGCUGCAUCACCAGAAGGUGAAGGCUCUGGAGGCUGAGCUACAGGAGUACUCUCUGAAACAGCAGAUAGCAGAGCUGCAGAGCCAGCUGGAACUGAUGGAGGAGGAGAAGAGAGAGACAGAGGGACGUCUGCAGGAAGUAGAGAAGAAGAACCGUGACCUAGAGAAAAGAGUGCAAGAGCUGCUGCAGGUCCAGAAGAGCACUGAGCCCUCACCAGGCCCUGUACCAGGGAUCGCCCCAACCCCCGCCCCUGUUCCCCAGCCCCCUCCACCCCCACCACCACCCCCUCCUCCUCCUCCACCCCCUCCCCCAUCGCGAUGCAACCCCCUCAGCUCACUGAUUGCAAUCAUGAGGAAAUCAUCCAAGAGUUCAAAGGGGGGAUCCUCAAAGUUACAGCAAGCUCCUGAAGGAGGUGCAGAAGGAGGUGCAGAAGGAGGUGCAGACAACGUCAAAGUGAAGGCAGUCAAUGAGAUGAUGGAGAGGAUUAAACAUGGAGUGGUUCUGAGGCCUGUCAAGGGAGGAGACACUAAGGUGGAGAGGUCAACAGUUCAUGUUUUGUUUAAAUAAUUGUCUUGGAAAAUUGUGGAAAUAUAGAUACUUAAUGUUCUCAAACUGAUUACUCCCUUAUUUUUCCAUCCAUGUCAUGUUUUCUAAUCAACUGACUGUCUCCCCAAAGAGAGGGGUCGUAAAAGUGAGUACACACAUCCCGUCACACAUCAAUUUUGUGACGGGGAAGUCUCUCGGGAUCCUAAAAUCACCCCCCAACAACAACAUGCUAAACCCCAUAUCACAGGGAUAAUCCACAUCAUAUGGUACUAGAGUGAAAUGGAUUAUAGCAGUUCUGUUAUUAAUCUCUCACUAAAACCAGUCUUCGGUUUGGCUUUUGGCAUGGGGAUCUUUCUCUUCGUGUAACAUUGUCCAUGGAUUACCUCACAGUGUAGACUGACAGACACCACAUGGCUGUCGCUUUGAUGUCAUGUCUUUUAUAUUGAUUGACACCAUCACCAUGACAACUUACAGGCUCCAAGGAGAAAAAUCUAUAAAAUGGCCUCCAGCUUUUACCUUCAUUCUCUCUAAUGUAGACCAGCUAUGGGAUAAAAGUUAACACCAGUUGCCAGGCCCGAUGUGUGCGUGAGCACAUAAGUCAAAUGUCUGUUAUGUCCUGUUUAUUAACUUAGUUGAUGUAUUAAUAGCAUUCUCUCAACCCCUAGAAACCUCCAGUCAUGGAAGAAAAGCUGCCACAGGAGAGUGCCAUGGAAGAACUGAAAGGCAUUCUGGAGACGGUGAAGAAGAGUCCCAGUCGGGGGUCUCAGGAGUCGGUCCCGUCCCCCCCAGGGAAGAGCCCUGUCAGCAGUGAGCUGGAGGUCAUCCUCAGGAGGAGACGUAAACAGGCCUGUGACUCUGGAGGAGAUGAGAGCAGGGACGGACAAAUAAGCAAGGUUUCGUCCUCUGACAGCCAGAGUUCCCACAGCUCCGACAGCUCUGGCAAAGAGCCAGAGGGGCCUACAGGACCAGGGCCUGGGCAGAGCCCCAGAGAGCCAGCCUCCCCCAGCGGAAGGGGCCCCGGCCCAGCCGUAGCAGCCAGGUGCAGGUCAGACUCUUGCCAAGAGCCCCAAGCAGGGUCCUGGCAGGACAGGAGGUCCCGCACUUCUUUGUCUGAGAAAGAGGUCUACUCUGAGGCACCGGUCACCAAUGGAUGCAAUGUCAGUGGGGAGGAGCCUGAGGAGCAGAAGCCUGAGAAAUGGGCACCACAGCCCAACGGAAUCAGCCAUCUUAACCCUAGUCUGACUGUGGAGUUGGACACGCAUACCACACACUCUCCCAGCCUCUCCGCAGGACCCAACGCACUCAACGGGAGCACGGAUGCAGAGUGUUGAAGGUCGGCUACAGAGGUCCCUGGGCAACCAGGAAGGCAGGCAGGCUGAGGAAAGCUGCACAAUUUUGCACAGAAUCUCAGUUAUCUGCAGUUAGAGACACUUGAUUAUAAAAGCUUUAGGUUAUUUUAUUUUAUGCACAAACUCUCUCGAUCUGAUGUGGCUUUUGUGUCAUCAUCUAAUGCACCGUUUCAGAAUACAACCUUUUUAUUUGAUCAGUCUCUCUCUCUCUCUCUCUCUCUCUCUCUCUCUCUCUCUCUUUCUCUCUCUCUCUAACAGGAGUUGAAUGAUACUUCUAAUAUAUGGCACAAACUUAUUUGAUUCUAGUUCUGCUUCUUCCUUGCACUUCCUGAACCCUACCGUAAGACUUUCAGUAAAGUCAUUGCUUACUUUAUGCAGUAGAAGCACCACCUGAACAUCGAUACAGAACAAUGUUUACCAUCUGGGUCAUCAUAAAACAAAUAGGAUACAGAUAUUGCACAUUAUGAAGGCACUUUUGCUAUUUCAAAACUGGAGCUCUGUUUCGGUUUGUGAACUAUCUAUCUUUAAUGUGUAAUCAAUGCAAAUACUACAGCGUAGGGAUGCAAAUGAAAGCCAUUCACGCGUUGCAAUCAAAGUAGCCUACCAUCCUUGAGGAAUUAGGUGCUUGUGUAUUCAGUCUACCUCGUAUUACACACACUUGCCUCUCGACUAUCCUAAAUUGUAUUUAAAGGGAAAAACAUGAUAUAGUAUCAUCUUCAUGCAAUGGGACAACAUUUGUAAAUGUCUUCCACCUACAUUCCCAAGCUGUAUAAGGUGCUUUGUUCAUAUUUGCUGGGAUACUCCCAUUGUUUCAUUACUGCUGUAACCUGAUUUCAUCCUGUGUGUAUUAUCCCACCUGUAUUAUGUUAGUAGGUCAUGCUUUCAGAUAUCUAGUACAACCUAAAACAACUGGAUUAAACCGUAUGCAAACGUAACUGAUACAGCAACAUAAUCUAAGAAAUAAAUACAUUAGAAGGCUCAUAGGACAUUCAUUCUCACACCCAUCAUGACAUUGUACAUUUUUCUUAAAAACAUAGAAACAACAUUGAGAGCAUUGACUCUAUUGUAAGUCAUUUCUAUGAAGCCUUCUUUCAUCAAAAUGAAAGGAAAUCUUGUUUUCCAGAUGCAAUGAUUUAAGUCUUAAACCUUGAGUCACCAUUUUCUGAAUUCCAUCUUUAUCAGGCAAGCAGAUGAUGGAAAAGGAAAUAACUGGACUGAGUUUGUGUGAAUCUUGAUUUUGUGUGUGUUUGGGAUUUUAAAAGUGUUAUGUUUAAAAAAAAACAUUUACAUUGAUGUCCAUUCAUCACUUGUCUGAAAUAAAAGUACUAUUCAAAUGACAA